rnacentral:lncRNA from 1 species
CUCAGCUGUUCGAAGCACAUGGCGAUCAGUUUGUGUUUACCGCGGUGUUGGGAGUGACGUGCCGUCUGAUUCAAAUGCGAAUCGUGGAAUCCUCGUGAAUUCUCUCGUUGGAUAAUAACUGCGUCGUGAUCGAGUGGAUUUCUAGUUAAGUUUUAAUCCCAAAAUAAUCCGGGUUCUUUGACUUCAUUCUGUCGCGCGUCUUUCGUGUCAAAGCUUUAAGUUGUAGUUUAAGUGCGGGGUAUUGUAGUGGUGGUUUUCCUUGUUUUAAGAAUUCAUUGAAAAUACAUUUGUGCUUGUUGUUAUCACUUUAUUGGAUCUUAACACCGAAUGAUUGGAUUUUAUUCUCCUUGGUGAUUUUUUAUUCAAUGAAACUGACUGCUCUUCAGAUUGAGAGGCUG